CCCUUAGAUGUUCUGGGCAGCACGCGCGCUACAAUGGUCUUCGCAAACGGAUGCAUUCUCGAAGGAGAAUGCCAAUCUUGGAAUCUAUGCCUUGGUCGGGACAGUUGCUUGCAAUUUUUCGACUCGAACCAGGAAUUCCUUGUAAUCGUGAUUCAUCACAUCACGAUGAAUACGUCCCUGCCCUUUGUACACACCGCCCGUCGCUCCUACCGAUCGAAGAGUUAGGUGAAUUGUUUUGAUCGAUAAGAUUUGACUAUGGUCAACUCUCGUUGUGAAAUUCUGUGAAUCUGACUGUUUAGAGGAAGGAAAAGUCGCAACA
rnacentral:rRNA from 1 species